GUGACCAGCCGCCAUUGACGACUUUGAUUUUAAAGUGUGGAUGGGAUUUUCAUUAAAUAAAACAGUUUAUAUUUAAUGUACUUCGCGAAAGCGUAUCAUAUAACUUUAGAAGAUUUUGAAAAUAGCGCACAAGUCUAUUAGACUACUAUGCAUGUUUUGGAGGUGGUCACUGCUCACUCUCAUUAUAUUAGCAUUAGCGUCCUGACAAAUUCCCUUUUUGUACACCAUAUGGAAGAGAGUAGGUUAGAACGAUGUGAUGAAAACGAACAAGCAUUGAGCGCUAGAUGGCAAUAAAGAGCCAUGAUAAGGACUUGACCAUGCUUACUGUGAGGAUGGAACAACUUGUAAGGAAGUGCAGGAAUGAAGGUGAAGUUACAAUCUUGUCCUACAGAUCAUUCAUGUGUUUCGCCUGAAGUGUUGAUAAGGAAACCGUUAAGUUCCUUUGACAGCAGUGCGAUCACAAGGACAGAGGGAAGACGCUAGAAGUUAGUAACUGAUCCCUGAUGGCUUGUUAUGUUUGGCACCUUCAUGCCAAAAUUCUGUCCAAUGCAGAUGCUUUCCAAGGACAUUGAUGAGGUGCAAAGACACUGCAGGCAUGACUCUGCAUUUCUGAAAAUGGCGCUCACAUUUGUCUCUAUAAUCUUCAGCAUCUGAGAUAAUAAGGAGGCAGGAAUGGUGUUAAUUACCCUCCCAGCAAGAUACAGAACAGCAUGCUUUUAUCUUGAAUGGGAGACAGAGUUAGUCAGGAAAAUUUGCUGCAUACAUUAAGAAUAUUGCCUAAGCGUGUGUUAUGUGUUUGGUGCAUUAGUUCCUGUAUGAAGAUAUUAAAGAAAUAUUUUUAUUAUGUGACAUUAUGUUAUUCUAGAGCUUAAAAUAUUAAAGUUUUCCAGUUAAAAUUUGCUUAAGAUUAUAAAAAAAAGUAAAAUAUAAUAAUGUAACAUCAGUUAUCAGCUGAUGUUAGAUAUUUUUCGGCAUCGUUUGAUGCAUUUGGUGCAUUUUUUUUUCUGGAUUUUUUUUAUUACCUUUGCUGUCAUCUAAUGCUUCAAAGUAAAUCUUUAAAAUACAAA